AGAGUUUGAUCCUGGCUCAGGAUGAACGCUGGCGGCGUGCCUAAUACAUGCAAGUCGAACGCGGGCACUUGUGCCCGAGUGGCGAACGGGUGAGUAAUACAUAAGUAACCUGGCCUUUACAGGGGGAUAACUGCUGGAAACGGUAGCUAAGACCGCAUAGGUAGGGACACUGCAUGGUGACCGUAUUAAAAGUGCUGCAAGGCACUGGUAGAGGAUGGACUUAUGGCGCAUUAGCUGGUUGGUGAGGUAACGGCUCACCAAGGCGACGAUGCGUAGCCGACCUGAGAGGGUGACCGGCCACACUGGGACUGAGACACGGCCCAGACUCCUACGGGAGGCAGCAGUAGGGAAUUUUCGGCAAUGGGGGGAACCCUGACCGAGCAACGCCGCGUGAAGGAAGAAGGAAUUCGUUCUGUAAACUUCUGUUAUAAAGGAAGAAAGGCGGAUGGAGGAAAUGACAUCCGAGUGACGGUACUUUAUGAGAAAGCCACGGCUAACUACGUGCCAGCAGCCGCGGUAAUACGUAGGUGGCAAGCGUUAUCCGGAAUUAUUGGGCGUAAAGAGGGAGCAGGCGGCAGCAAAGGUCUGUGGUGAAAGACUGAAGCUUAACUUCAGUAAGCCAUAGAAACCAGGCAGCUAGAGUGCAGGAGAGGAUCGUGGAAUUCCAUGUGUAGCGGUGAAAUGCGUAGAUAUAUGGAGGAACACCAGUGGCGAAGGCGACGAUCUGGCCUGUAACUGACGCUCAGUCCCGAAAGCGUGGGGAGCAAAUAGGAUUAGAUACCCUAGUAGUCCACGCCGUAAACGAUGAGUACUAAGUGUUGGAAGUCAAAUUUCAGUGCUGCAGUUAACGCAGUAAGUACUCCGCCUGAGUAGUACGUUCGCAAGAAUGAAACUCAAAGGAAUUGACGGGGGCCCGCACAAGCGGUGGAGCAUGUGGUUUAAUUCGAAGCAACGCGAAGAACCUUACCAGGUCUUGACAUACUCAUAAAGGAUCCAGAGAUGGAUAGAUAGUUAUAUGAGAUACAGGUGGUGCAUGGUUGUCGUCAGCUCGUGUCGUGAGAUGUUGGGUUAAGUCCCGCAACGAGCGCAACCCUUAUCGUUAGUUACCAUCAUUAAGUUGGGGACUCUAGCGAGACUGCCAGUGACAAGCUGGAGGAAGGCGGGGAUGACGUCAAAUCAUCAUGCCCCUUAUGACCUGGGCUACACACGUGCUACAAUGGAUGGUGCAGAGGGAAGCGAAGCCGCGAGGCGAAGCAAAACCCAUAAAACCAUUCUCAGUUCGGAUUGUAGUCUGCAACUCGACUACAUGAAGUUGGAAUCGCUAGUAAUCGCGAAUCAGCAUGUCGCGGUGAAUACGUUCUCGGGCCUUGUACACACCGCCCGUCACACCAUGAGAGUUGAUAACACCCGAAGCCGGUGGCCUAACCGAAAGGAAGGAGCUGUCUAAGGUGGGAUUGAUGAUUGGGGUGAAGUCGUAACAAGGUAACC
rnacentral:rRNA from 1 species